rnacentral:rRNA from 1 species
UACAGGGGGCGCGAGCGUUGCUCGGAAUUACUGGGCGUAAAGCGUACGCAGGCGGACUGCAAAGUCGGAUGUGAAAUCCCGAGGCUCAACCUCGGAACUGCAUUCGAUACUGGCAGUCUUGAGUACGAGAGAGGUGGGUGGAAUUCCUGGUGUAGAGGUGAAAUUCGUAGAUAUCAGGAGGAACAUCGGUGGCGAAAGCGGCCCACUGGCUCGAUACUGACGCUCAUGUACGAAAGCGUGGGGAGCAAACAGG